CGGCCUUAGCGGGCAGCUAUACAUGCAGUCGAGCGGACAGAUGGGAGCUUGCUCCCUGAUGUUAGCGGCGGACGGGUGAGUAACACGUGGGUAACCUGCCUGUAAGACUGGGAUAACUCCGGGAAACCGGGGCUAAUACCGGAUGGUUGUUUGAACCGCAUGGUUCAAACAUAAAAGGUGGCUUCGGCUACCACUUACAGAUGGACCCGCGGCGCAUUAGCUAGUUGGUGAGGUAACGGCUCACCAAUGGUCAACGGAUGCGUUAAGCCGAACUGAGAGGGUGAUCGGCCACACUGGGACUGAGAACACGGCCCAGACUCCUACCGGAGGCAGGCAGUAAGGAAUCCUCCGCCAAUGGACGAAAGUCUGAACGGAGCAACGCCGCCGUGAAGUGAUGAAGGUUUUCGAAUCGUAAAGCUCUGUUGUUAGGGAAGAACAAGUACCGUUCGAAUAGGGCGGUACCUUGACGGUACCCUAACCCAGAAAGCCACGGCUAACUACGUGCCAGCAGCCGCGGUAAUACGUAGGUGGCAAGCGUUGUCCGGAAAUUAUUGGGCGUAAAGGGCUCGCAGGCGGUUUCUUAAGUCUGAUGUGAAAGCCCCCGGCUCAACCGGGGAGGGUCAUUGGAAACUGGGGAACUUGAGUGCAGAAGAGGAGAGUGGAAUUCCACGUGUAGCGGUGAAAUGCGUAGAGAUGUGGAGGAACACCAGUGGCGAAGGCGACUCUCUGGUCUGUAACUGACGCUGAGGAGCGAAAGCGUGGGGAGCGAACAGGAUUAGAUACCCUGGUAGUCCACGCCGUAAACGAUGAGUGCUAAGUGUUAGGGGGUUUCCGCCCCUUAGUGCUGCAGCUAACGCAUUAAGCACUCCGCCUGGGGAGUACGGUCGCAAGACUGAAACUCAAAGGAAUUGACGGGGGCCCGCACAAGCGGUGGAGCAUGGUGGUUUAAUUUCGAAGCAACGCGAAGAACCUUACCAGGUCUUGACAUCCUCUGACAAUCCUAGAGAUAGGACGUCCCCUUUCGGGGGGCAGAGUGACAGGUGAUGCAUGAUUGUCGUCAGCUCGUGUCGUGGAGAUGUUGGAUUAAGUCCCGCAACGGAGCGCAACCCUUGAUCUAACUUGCCAGCAUUCAGUUGGGCACUUCUAAGGUGGACUGCCGGUGACAAACCGGAGGAAGGUGGGGAUGACGUCAAAUCUAUCAUGCCCCUUAUGACCUGGGCUACACACGGUGCCUAACAAUGUGACAGAAUCAAAGGGCAGCGAAACCGCGAGGUUAAGCCAAUCCCACAAAUCUGUUCUCAGUUCGGAUCGCAGUCUGCAACUCGACUGCGUGAAGCUGGAAUCGCUAGUAAUCGCGGAUCAGCAUGCCGCGGUGAAUACGUUCCCGGGCCUUGUACACACCGCCCGUCACACCACGAGAGUUUGUAACACCCGAAGUCGGUGAGGUAACCUUUAGGAGCCAGCCGCCGAAGUGGACAGAUGGGUU
rnacentral:rRNA from 1 species